CCCUUAGAUGUUCUGGGCUGCACGCGCGCUACACUGAAGCGUUCAACGAGUAUUCACCUUGCCCGGGAGGGUUGGGUAAUCUUUUGAAAACGCUUCGUGAUGGGGAUAGAUUAUUGCAAUUAUUAAUCUUCAACGAGGAAUUCCUAGUAAGCGCGAGUCAUCAGCUCGUGCUGAUUACGUCCCUGCCCUUUGUACACACCGCCCGUCGCUCCUACCGAUUGAAGUUUUCGGUGAAUUUGCAGGAGGUUUGCUUUGAAACUGGUUCGCCAGUGGAUUUGUGGACCAAAUGCAUGUGAAUCGAUGGCUUUAGAGGAAGGAGAAGUCGUAACA
rnacentral:rRNA from 1 species